CCGACCUUAGCUCAGUUGGUAGAGCGGAGGACUGUAGUCAUUGCUGUAAAAUCCUUAGGUCGCUGGUUCGAAUCCGGCAGGUCGGA
rnacentral:tRNA from 1 species